UACGUAGGGGGCAAGCGUUGUCCGGAUUUAUUGGGCGUAAAGAGCGUGUAGGCGGUCUGGUAGGUCCGCUGUGAAAACUCGAGGCUCAACCUCGAGACGCCGAUGGAAACCAUCAGACUAGAGUCCGGAAGAGGAGAGUGGAAUUCCUGGUGUAGCGGUGAAAUGCGCAGAUAUCAGGAAGAACACCCGUGGCUAAGGCGGCUCUCUAGUACGGUACUGACGCUGAGACGCGAAAGCGUGGGGAGCGAACAGG
rnacentral:rRNA from 1 species